AUGAAAAGAGUGCUAACACCUUUCCUUUUCAUAAUUUACCCCCGAACUCAAGAAAUAAUCUCAAAGGUCUUUCCUGUGUUUUCUCACCUUUCCUUUUGGAUAAAAGAAAAGUCGAUGACGACUCUUGCUAACCGCAAUUUUACGAUCAAAUGCAAAACCUUCAAGUCAGUUCUCCCACCGUAUCACAGUAUGAAACAUAAAAUUUAUAAUGCAACAACAAUUAAUAGAUAA